GGGCGACGUCGGCGGCGGUGGGCUCGGCGACGACGACGGACGGGAUGACCCAACCGAGCACUGGCGGCGAUGGUGUCGGCCUUCGCGCAGAGCAGCCGCGGCUCGGCGAUGACGACGGCGGCGAGGUCCGCGCGGGAGAGGGAGAGGGAGAGGCCGGUGGAGAGGAGGGCGAGCACGACCACCAUCGCGGUCGGGCGGGCGGAGAAGCGCGACGACGCACGGUCGGCCUUCGCGUAGAGCAGCCGCGGCUCAGCGACGAUGACGGCGGCGAGGUCCGCGCGGGAGAGGGAGAGGGAGAGGCCGGUGGAGAGGAGGGCGAGCACGGCCACCAUCGUGGUCGGGCGGGCGGAGAAGCUCGACCACACACGGUCGGCCCGCCGCCGAGUUCCCCGCCUCCGGAUCCGUCGCCACAACCUUCCCCAUCGCCGGAUCCGCCGCCGCCGCCCUCCACACCACCGGAUCCGCCGCCGCCGCCCUCCCCACCAAUGGAUCCGCCACCACCGAG
rnacentral:lncRNA from 1 species